GCUCCCAUGGCGGAGUGGCCACUGCACUCGCCUUGCACGCGGGAGACCCGGGUUCGAUUCCCGGCGGGGUCA
rfam:Asian citrus Psyllid, Diaphorina citri - Florida Strain, whole genome shotgun sequence.